UACGUAGGUGGCAAGCGUUGUCCGGAAUUAUUGGGCGUAAAGCGCGCGCAGGCGGUCCUUUAAGUCUGAUGUGAAAGCCCACGGCUCAACCGUGGAGGGUCAUUGGAAACUGGGGGACUUGAGUACAGAAGAGGAAAGUGGAAUUCCACGUGUAGCGGUGAAAUGCGUAGAGAUGUGGAGGAACACCAGUGGCGAAGGCGACUUUCUGGUCUGUAACUGACGCUGAGGCGCGAAAGCGUGGGGGGCAAACAGG
rnacentral:rRNA from 1 species